GACGAACGCUGGCGGCGUGCUUAACACAUGCAAGUCGAACGGAAAGGCCCUGCUUUUGUGGGGUGCUCGAGUGGCGAACGGGUGAGUAACACGUGAGUAACCUGCCCUUGACUUUGGGAUAACUUCAGGAAACUGGGGCUCAUACCGGAUAGGAGCUCCUGCUGCAUGGUGGGGGUUGGAAAGUUUCGGCGGUUGGGGAUGGACUCGCGGCUUAUCAGCUUGUUGGUGGGGUAGUGGCUUACCAAGGCUUUGACGGGUAGCCGGCCUGAGAGGGUGACCGGCCACAUUGGGACUGAGAUACGGCCCAGACGCCUACGGGAGGCAGCAGUGGGGAAUAUUGCACAAUGGGCGGGAGCCUGAGGCAGCAACGCCGCGUGCGGGAUGACGGCCUUCGGGUUGUAAACCGCUUUCGCAUGUGACGAAGCGUAAGUGACGGUAAUGGGUAAAGAAGCACCGGCUAACUACGUG
rnacentral:rRNA from 1 species